AGCGAACGCUGGCGGCAGGCCUAACACAUGCAAGUCGAACGAACCUUUCGGGGUUAGUGGCGGACGGGUGAGUAACACGUGGGAACGUGCCUUUAGGUUCGGAAUAACUCAGGGAAACUUGUGCUAAUACCGAAUGUGCCCUUCGGGGGAAAGAUUUAUCGCCUUUAGAGCGGCCCGCGUCUGAUUAGCUAGUUGGUUGAGGUAAUGGCUCACCAAGGCGACGAUCAGUAGCUGGUCUCAGAGGAUGAUCAGCCACAUUGGGACUGAGACACGGCCCAAACUCCUACGGGAGGCAGCAGUGGGGAAUCUUGCGCAAUGGGCGAAAGCCUGACGCAGCCAUGCCGCGUGAAUGAUGAAGGUCUUAGGAUUGUAAAAUUCUUUCACCGGGGACGAUAAUGACGGUACCCGGAGAAGAAGCCCCGGCUAACUUCGUG
rnacentral:rRNA from 1 species